rnacentral:rRNA from 1 species
CCUCGGGAGGCAGCAGUGGGGAAUAUUGGACAAUGGGCGAAAGCCUGAUCCAGCCAUGCCGCGUGUGUGAAGAAGGCCUUCGGGUUGUAAAGCACUUUCAGUGGGGAAGAAAGCCUUGGGGCUAAUACCCUCGAGGAAGGACAUCACCCACAGAAGAAGCACCGGCUAACUCCGUGCCAGCAGCCGCGGUAAUACGGAGGGUGCGAGCGUAAAUCGGAAUUACUGGGCGUAAAGCGCGCGUAGGCGGUCUGAUAAGCCGGUUGUGAAAGCCCCGGGCUCAACCUGGGAACGGCAUCCGGAACUGUCAGGCUAGAGUGCAGGAGAGGAAGGUAGAAUUCCCGGUGUAGCGGUGAAAUGCGUAGAGAUCGGGAGGAAUACCAGUGGCGAAGGCGGCCUUCUGGACUGACACUGACGCUGAGGUGCGAAAGCGUGGGUAGCAAACAGGAUUAGAUACCCCGGUAGUC